CUCCCAGCCCCUCCUCCCUGGCGCCAUGGAGCCCUCCCCACGAGCCCAGGGGCAUCCGAGCAUGGGCGGCCCAAUGCAGAGGGUGACGCCUCCUCGUGGCAUGGCCAGCGUGGGGCCCCAGAGCUAUGGAGGUGGCAUGCGACCCCCACCCAACUCCCUCGCCGGCCCAGGCCUGCCUGCCAUGAACAUGGGCCCAGGAGUUCGUGGCCCGUGGGCCAGCCCCAGUGGAAACUCGGUGAGCCUAUGGCUGGGUGGGCAGGCUUGGGGUGGGGUGGGAGGGACACUGGGUGAGCCGCCUGGCUGACUGCUCACAGCUGCCCUUGUCCCCAGAUCCCCUACUCCUCCUCAUCCCCCGGCAGCUACACCGGACCCCCAGGAGGAGGUGGGCCCCCUGGAACACCCAUCAUGCCUAGCCCUGGAGAUUCCACCAACUCCAGCGAAAACAUGUACACUAUCAUGAACCCCAUCGGGCAGGGCGCCGGCAGGGCUAAU
rnacentral:lncRNA from 10 species